GAUGAACGCUGGCGGUACGUCUGACACAUGCAAGUCGAACGGUAAGCCACCUUCGGGUGGCCUAGAGUGGCGAACGGCUGAGUAACACGUAGGAACCUACCCCUCAGUCUGGGAUAACGG
rnacentral:rRNA from 1 species